rnacentral:lncRNA from 1 species
ACAAGUUUGCGAAGACUAACGGAGAAACCCGAUCGAGUCUAGUCCCAUGCCCCUUUUCUUCAUCAAGUCAAACCCUAAAUCGGACCAUAGAACUAUCGAUAAAUCAACACAAAUGUAGAGAAAGAUUCCAACUUUAUGUCUUCGGAGGAACACCAAGAAAAGGGUAAGAGAGACCUGUCAAUUUCAACUAUAAUUCAGAGGAGAAAUUGAAAUGGGAGGACGAAAGAAUCUAGCCCCAAUGGUACGGGAUUGCGAGAAAGGAACGAUAACAAAGAGAUCAACAGAAAAGUGAAAGCUUUUGAUUUUGAUUUUGAUUUUGAUUUUGAUUAUUUCUUGUGAGGAAGAUGAGUCGAUGUGUUUCGUCUUCGAAACGACCACUCCUGAUUUUUGUUCUUUCCUCUCCUUCCUUCCAUCUUUGCAUUUU